CAGGUGCCUAAAGAAAUGUCUUUCAUAUGGUCUGUUGGCCAUUUCAGAAAUUUGGAAAGGUAAUGGUCAAUUCAAUAAAAGAAAUGUGC
rnacentral:snoRNA from 1 species